rnacentral:misc_RNA from 1 species
AACGCAUAUGGCACCCGAGACUUCGGUCGAGGGUAUGUCUGCCUCAGAGUCGCCGUAAAACAUCCCCUCGGGUAGCCACAUCGGGCUGCCUCGGGGGGGAGCUGGCCCUCCCACGGAGUUCCCGGCUAAGCGGGCGCUGUAGCCGUGGGUCGGCCGAAGGAGAGAAACGGAGGACCGGUGGGCGUACGAACCCGCUGGACAUCACGAUUUGGUGGGAGGACGGGAGCUUGCUCCCCUUAUCCGUAUCAUCGUCGUGUGACCAGUCGGGGAGCCGUGCCGGUCCCUCCGCCUUUGCAGGAGAUAACAUCUCAUCCAUCGACCUGAGUUCAGGCAAGAUCACCCGCUGAACUUAA